rfam:Tulasnella calospora MTT 4182 unplaced genomic scaffold scaffold_7, whole genome shotgun sequence.
GGCCGUCUGGCGCAAUGGCAGCGCGUCCGCCUACGAUUCCCACGCUAGCGGGAGGUUGCAGGUUCAACCCCUGCGUCGGUCA